rnacentral:tRNA from 1 species
GUUUGUGGCUCAGUGGUGGAGUGCCUGCUUAGCAUGCAUGAGGCCCUGGGGUUGAUUCCCCAGUACGACA